UACAGAGGGGGCAAGCGUUAUUGGAAUUAUUGGGCGUAAAGGGCGCGUAGGCGGCCUGGCAAGUGGAAGGUGAAAUCCCUCGGCUUAACCGAGGAACUGCCUCCCAAACUGCUUGGCUUGAGACCAGGAGAGGUGAGUGGAAUUCCCAGUGUAGCGGUGAAAUGCGUAGAUAUCUGGAGGAACACCGGUGGCGAAGGCGGCAUCCUGGACCGACACUGACGCUGAGGAGCGAAAGCCAGGGGAGCAAACGGG
rnacentral:rRNA from 1 species